GGGCCGCUGGUCUAGUGGUAUGAUUCUCGCUUAGGGUUGUAUCCUGAGCACAAAACUUGCGAGAGGUCCCGGGUUCAAUCCCCGGGUGGCCCC